UUCGAUUAAGCCAUGCGAGUCGCGAGUCUUAGGGUCUCGGCGUACCGCUCAGUAACACGUGGGUAACCUGCCCUAUGCUGGGGAAUAACCUCGGGAAACUGAGAAUAAUGCCCCAUAGUUCACCACGCCUGGAACGGUGGGUGGAUCAAAGCUCCGGCGGCAUAGGAUGGGCCUGCGGCGUAUCAGGUCGUAGGGGGUGUAAUGUACCCUCUAGCCAUCAACGCGUACGGGUGUUGGGAGACAUUGCCCGGAGAUGGAUUCUGAGACACGAAUCCAGACCCUACGGGGUGCAGCAGGCGCGAAAACUUGGCAAUGCGAGAAAUCGUGACCAGGGAACUCCAAGUGCAUCGGGUAAGACCGAUGCUUUUCUUGACUCUUCAACGGUCUUGGAAUAAGGGGUGGGUAAGGACGGUGCCAGCCGCCGCGGUAAUACCGGCGCCUCAAGUGGUAGUCGCUUUUAUCGGGCCUAAAACGUCCGUAGCCGGUUUGGUACAUUCGUGGGUAAAUCAAGGCGCUCAACGUCUUGAAUUCUGCGAGCACGGCCAGACUUGGGACCGGGUGAGGUGUGGGGUACUCUCAGGGUAGGGGUAAAAUCCUGUCAUCCUGAGAGGACCACCUGUUGCGAAGGCGCCACACUAGAACGGAUCCGACGGUCAGGGACGAAGCCUAGGGGCACGAACCGGAUUAGAUACCCGGGUAGUCCUAGGUGUAAACGCUGUGGACUUGAUGUUGGGAGUGCUCCGAGCACCCUCAGUGUCGAAGCGAAGGUGAUAAGUCCACUGCCUGGGGAGUACGGUCGCAAGGCUGAAACUUAAAGGAAUUGGCGGGGGAGCACUGCAACCUGAGGAUUGUGCG
rnacentral:rRNA from 1 species